GGAUGUGAGACGAUCUGGCUGCAACAUCUGUCACCCCAUUGAUCGCCAGAGGGUGGAGUGGCCAGGGCGGGUGUCCCUUCCUCCCUCAGUGGUCCGUCCAUGUGCAUCCCUCCUGAAGCUGCUCAGUCGAAGAGGAUGAACACCCCCUAGAGAAGGACCGUUCCUCCAUCAAGGGUAUGUGAGCAGCUGCACUCCCCUGCUAGAACCUCUAAAAUAAAAUUUAAAAAUUGAUCUAAAUAAUCAUGUGCUUUUAAAAUACUCAAUAUUCAAAGUCUCCUAAAAAUCACAAAGGUAUGCUAACUUGUUCCAAAUUUU
ensembl:misc_RNA 7SK 7SK RNA